rnacentral:rRNA from 1 species
GUUUGAUCAUGGCUCAGUAGGUCGCACGCGGCAUCCGAUCACAGAGUUACGGGUGAGUAACACGUGGGUAACCUGCCUGUAAGACUGGGAUAACUCCGGGAAACCGGGGCUAAUACCGGAUAAUUUAGUUCCUCGCAUGAGGAACUGUUGAAAGGUGGCUUUUCGCUACCACUUACAGAUGGACCCGCGGCGCAUUACCUAGUUGGUGAGGUAACGGCUCACCAAGGCAACGAUGCGUAGCCAACCUGAAAGGGUGAUCGGCCACACUGGGACUGAGACACGGCCCAAACUCCUACGGAAGGCAGCAUUAGGAAAUCUUCCGCAAUGAACAAAAGUCUGACGAAGCACCGCCGCGUGAGUGAAGAAGGUUUUCGGAUCGAAAAACUCUGUUGUUAGGAAAAAACAAGUGCCGUUCGAAUAGGGGGGCCCCUUGACGGUACCUAACCAGAAAGCCACGGCUAACUACGUGCCAGCACCCGCGGAAAUACGUAGGUGGAAAGCUUUGUCCGGAAUUAUUGGGCGUAAAGCGCGCGCAGGUGGUUUCUUAAGUCAGAUGUGAAAGCCCAGGGCUCACCCGUGGAGGGUCAUUGAAAACUGGGAAACUUGAGUGCAAAAGAGGAAAGUGAAAUUCCAAGUGUAGCGGUGAAAUGCGUAGAUAUUUGGAGGAACACCAGUGGCGAAGGCGACUUUCUGGUCUGAAACUGACACUGAGGCGCAAAAGCGUGGGGAGCAAACGGGAUUAGAUACUCUGGUACUCCACGCCAUACACGAUGAGUGCUAAGUGUUAGAGGUUUCCCCCUAUAGUGCUGCACAAACGCAUUAAACACUCCCCGUGGAGAAUACGGUCGCAGACUGAACUCAAAGAAUUAACGGGGCCCACACACGCGGGGAACAUGUGUUUUAUUCGAAACACGCAAAACCUUACGGGUUUGGACUUCUGAGACACCCUAGAAAAGGGUUUCCCCUUCGGGAAAAAAAUCACAGGUGUGCAUGUUGUCCCCCCCCGUGCCGGAAAUGUGGGUUAAUCCCACAACGAGCACACCUUGAUUUAUUUGCCAACUUCAGUGGCCCCCUAAGAAGACCGCGGUAAAAACCGGAAGAGGGGGGAAGACCUAAAUCCUAGCCCUUAAGAC